GAUUAUGGCUCAGGAUGAACGCUAGCUACAGGCUUAACACAUGCAAGUCGAGGGGCAGCGGGGACUGUGCUUGCACAGUUUGCCGGCGACCGGCGCACGGGUGAGUAACGCGUAUCCAACCUUCCCCUUAGUAGGGCAUAGCCCGUAGAAAUGCGGAUUAAUACCCUAUGUUCUUCGUCGAGGACAUCUGAAGUGAAGCAAAGAUUUAUCGCUAAGGGAUGGGGAUGCGUCUGAUUAGGCAGCAGGCGGGGUAACGGCCCACCUGGCCGACGAUCAGUAGGGGUUCUGAGAGGAAGGUCCCCCACAUUGGAACUGAGACACGGUCCAAGCUCCUACGGGAGGCAGCAGUGAGGAAUAUUGGUCAAUGGUCGAGAGACUGAACCAGCCAAGUAGCGUGCAAGGAUGACAGCCCUAUGGGUUGUAAACUGCUUUUAUGCGGGGAUAAAGUGCGGCACGUGUGCCGUUUUGUAGGUACCGCAUGAAUAAGGACCGGCUAAUUCCGUGCCAGCCGCCGC
rnacentral:rRNA from 1 species